rnacentral:rRNA from 1 species
AGUGAACGCUGGCGGUAGGCCUAACACAUGCCAGUCGAACGGCAGCACAGUAAGAGCUUGCUCUUACGGGUGGCGAGUGGCGGACGGGUGAGGCAUACAUCGGAAUCUACUUUUUCGUGGGGGAUAACGUAGGGAAACUUACGCUAAUACCGCAUACUACCUACGGGUGAAAGCAGGGGAUCUUCGGACCUUGCGCGAUUGAAUGAGCCGAUGUCGGAUUAGCUAGUUGGCGUGGUAAAGGCCCACCAAGGCGACGAUCCGUAGCUGGUCUGAGAGGAUGAUCGGCCACACUGGAACUGAGACACGGUCCAGACUCCUACGGGAGGCAGCAGUGGGGAAUAUUGGACAAUGGGCGCAAGCCUGAUCCAGCCAUACCGCGUGGGUGAAGAAGGCCUUCGGGUUGUAAAGCCCUUUUGUUGGGAAAGAAAAGCAGCAGGUUAAUACCCCGCUGUUCUGACGGUACCCAAAGAAUAAGCACCGGCUAACUUCGUG